rnacentral:lncRNA from 1 species
CUCUCCUCUUCCCGGUGCUGCUCAGAUUUUCCAUCCUUUUUUGGGAAUUCCAGCUGCUGAAUUCCAUGGAAGCCUGAGCUGGAGCCACAGACACGGCCCUGCUCUGAAUUCCCGCUUUUCCAAGGGGUUUUCCAAAGGGUUUGGAGGAGGAGAUGGACUUGGACAUGAGUUUGUUCCAGUGGGAGGAGGGAGAACAUUUGGGAAGGAAGGAGAACAUUCCCAAAGUUCUGAGUGGUUUGGAGGAAAAACCAUCCCAGCUAAAUGAAAAUCCAAAAUUUUUUUUGGGAUUCUGAGCAUCACUCAGGGCAAAAAUUCCCUGAGUUUGUUCCAGUGGGAGGAGGGAGAAUGGAAGGAGGGAGAACAUUUGGGAAGGAAGGAGAACAUUCCCAAAGCCAAAGGAAAAUCCCAAA